AUCCUUCGGUUCAUAAGUGUGAUGAUUGGGUAUUCAAGCCAUAUGCAUGAAACGAGCCUCCCUCAAACCUUGUUACCACAUGGGCACAUUACCUCUCGUGAGA